CCUGUGGCAUAUGGAGGUCCCCAGGCUAGGGGUCUAAUUGGAGCCACAGCUGCUGGCCAUGGCCACAGCCACAGCCACAGCAACAUGGGAUCAGAGCCGCAUCUGCAACCCACACCACAGCUCAUGGCAAUGCUGGAUCCUUAACCCACUAAGCGAGGCCAGGGAUCAAACCCACAACCUCGUGGUUCCUAGUCUGACUCGUUUCUGCUGCGACACGAUGGGAAUACCCUCCUGAUGCUUUGAAGGGUUUGACUCAGAAAAGCACUAUCACCAAGAGAUCAGUAAGCUUGGUGUUAUUUACCUACCGAAUUUACUCUUUAAAAUGUGUUUGGUCAGCUGUGCUUGGCUUCUGUGACUGGCUGUAUUUGUCCAAAGGCUAAUUAGCUCAGAGGGUAGAAAGAUCAGUGAGUUAAUCCAUAAACUUGAGUGACUGAUGAAAUCUAACUGCCAACUGGUACCACAGCAGAUACUUUUUCUUUAAAGGAUUAAUGAGGCAUGCCGGCUCUUCUCAAAUAUUAGCCUUUCCAAGAAUAAGAUGGGAUGAAACAAGAGAAAAGACAGUCAGAGAGUUUUUUCCAAAAACUCUCUGCAAACAUUUGUAUGGAAUUUUACAACUAAAACUUCCAGAAUUCCAGAGCAGCAUGUGGGUAGUACCCGCUAGGUGAUUCACGGGUCUGGGGUGGUCUUAGAUAAAAGUUGUUCUCUUGAGUCCUUCGUAACAAAUGAACAUUUCAUUGUCGAGUACUCACCAUGGGCCGAACGCUUAGCAUUUUACAUGUUGUUAAUUCACUUGGUUCUCACAAUAACCUAACAAGGCAGGCAUGAUUAUUCUUUAAUUUAACAAGUGAGACCAUUCAGAUUCGGUCCCCGAGCUCACACAGCGGGUAGGAUUUAAACCCCAAAAGCUCUGGCUCCAGAGGUUUGGUAGGUUUUUGUAAAAAAUAUUUUGUUUAUAUUUUUGAAAAUUAACAUUUUUUAUUAAAGUAUAGUUGGUUUAUAAUGUUUCUUCAAUUUCUGUUGUGCAGCGAAGGGACUCAAUCCCAUAAAUUCCUUGUGCUGUACAGUAGAGCCCCAUUGCCUAUCCAUUCCAGAUGUAACAGUCUGCAUCCCCAAACCCCAAACUGCCCGUCCACCCCACUCCCCUCUCCCCCCGGAACCACACGUCUGCUCCCUUUGGCCAUGAUCAAACAUGUUUCUGUUUUGUAGACAGGAUCAUCUGUGCCAUAUGUUAGAUUACACAAAUGCGUUUUGAUCUUAACCGCUAUGCUGAACUGCUCUAAGGGAAAGGAAAGAGUUUGGGUCCAAGAUCAAAGUUUUCCUGGCUCCAGUUCUCCUUUAGAUGUACUCUGAUUACAGCUUGUGUACGGAUGGACCAUGUCAUGCAGCUAUCGUAAAGAUAAAAAAU
rnacentral:lncRNA from 9 species